UGGAGGUUGCAGUGAGCCAAGAUCGUGCCACUGCACUCCAGCCUGGAUGACAGAGCAAGACUCCAUCAAAAAAAAAAAAAAAAAAGUGGAAAUAAAAAAGGGGUUGCAGGCCUACAAGGAAUCAGAAAAAUUUCCUUCAUGUGCAUGAAAUUGAGGCAGGUGAACAUGAUCAAAGAGAUCAGAACUGCCUCAGACAUAGGAGUCUGGCAGGUGAGAGAAAGGAAGAAAGAAGUGCUGGGCCGCCGGGGAAGCUUGGCGAGGGGUGGACUGGUGAGCAUGAGGCGUCAGCCUUUGUCCCCCCACCCCCACCGACACACACACGGCCGGAUGGGCCCCGUCUCUGUGGCCUCCAACUGUCACCCUUGAAGCUGCUGCAGUGACGAGCGCCAGAGAGAGAAGCCAGGAAGGAAAUGCUCCCACCCAGCACCUCCACCCACCAGGCGCCGGCCGGUGUGGUUUCCAUUUCUGCUUGUUUUCCUGGCGUCCACCCCUCCGUUCUCUCACUAAAGUGAUCUCUCUUGGCCAGGUGCGGUGGCCCCCGCCUGUAAUCCCAGCACUUUCGGGAGGCCGAGGCGGGCGGAUCACCUGAGGUCAGGAGUUCAAGACCAGCCUGACCAACAUGGUGAAACCCCAUCUCUACUAAAAAUACAAAAAGUAGCCAGGCGUGGUGGUGGGCACCUGUAAUCCCAGCUGCUUGGGAGGCUGAGGCAGGAGAAUCGCUUGAACCCGGGAGGCAGAGGUUGCAGUGAGCUGAGAUCGUGCCAUUGCACUCCAGCCUGGGCGACAGAGUGAGACCCUGUCAAAAAAAAGAAAAAAUCUCCCUUUUCUGUUGGAGCGUCUCCACUCCUUUGUCCUCAGCACCUUGAAUGGGAUUGGCUUAAGCCUGUUGGAGACUCUCCUCUUGGCCACAGCACAUGGUUCAGGGACGGGCAGUUGCCAGUCAGAGCCAGUAAGAUGCCCAGAGAAUUUUGCUGGAGCUGCCAGGAAUGAAAUACCUCCUUCUUGUGUGGAAAUUGCCUGAAUAGACUCACACCUGCUGGACAUACAUGAGCAUGGCUCUAGCUCUGGGAAAUGACUGUCCAUCGGGAACUGUGAAGAUGGGAACAGGUCGGAGAAUGGAGCUAUUUGCAGCAAGAAAAGAGAGCUGGGAAAUGUGGGCGGGAAUCAGAGAUUAAAUCAGUGGGUAACCAAGACUGGCUGCGAUGGAGUUCUGCUCCUUUCCUAAUUCCCCUGGAAGAAAGAGAGGCAUGGAACUGGCAGAGCCCUGGCAGCAUGACGAGGAAACGGACCCCAUUCUGCAGUAAUUAGAAAACGUCAUGAUACGAUGCCACGUGAAGUACACACGCUCAACCUGGAUCGAAUUAUGGGGAAACAUCAGAUGGGUCCAGAUUACGCAGGACACUCUCCAUGACGACUGGCCUGGAAUCUUCAAAAACAGCAAUGCCGUGAAAGACAGAAAUAAAACAGAAAAAAAGGGUUGUUGUGAGGAAUUAGAAGAGAUAAAAAAUGUAUGGCAGCUAGCCACCCCGUCUGGGAAGUGAGGAGCGCCUCCGCCCGGCCGCCCCGUCUGGGAAGUGAGGAGCGCCUCCGCCCGGCCGCCCCGUCUGGGAGGUGAGGAGCGCCUCUGCCCGGCCGCCCCGUCUGGGAGGUGAGGAGCGCCUCUACCCGGCCACCCAUCGUCUGGGAUGUGAGGAGCGCCUCUGCCCGGCUGCCACCCCGUCUGGGAGGAAGUGAGGAGCGCCUCUGCCCGGCCGCCCCGUCUGGGAGGUGAGGAGCGUCUCUGCCCGGCCGCCCCGUCUGGGAGGAAGUGAGGAGCGUCUCUACCUGGCCGCCCCGUCUGGGAAGUGAGGAGCGCCUCUGCCCAGCAGCCCCGUCUGGGAAGUGAGCAGCGCCUCUGCCCAGCAGCCCCGUCUGGGAGGUGAGGAGCGCCUCUGCCCGGCCGCCCCGUCUGGGAAGUGAGGAGCGUCUCUGCCCAGCAGCCCCGUCUGGGAGGUGAGGAGCGCCUCUGCCUGGCUGCCACCCCGGCUGGGAGGAAGUGAGGAGCGCCUCUGCCCAGCAGCCCCGUCUGGGAAGUGAGCAGCGCCUCUGCCCAGCAGCCCCGUCUGGGAGGUGAGGAGCGCCUCUGCCUGGCUGCCACCCCGGCUGGGAGGAAGUGAGGAGCGCCUCUGCCCGGCCGCCCCGUCUGGGAAGUGAGGAGCGCCUCUGCCCGGCCGCCCCGUCUGGGAGGUGAGGAGCGCCUCUGCCCGGCCGCCCAGUGUGGGAAGUGAGGAGCACCUCUGCCUGGCUGCCCCAUCUGGGAGGUGAGGAGCGCCUCUGCCUGGCUGCCACCCCGGCUGGGAGGAAGUGAGGAGCAUCUCUGCCUGGCCGCCCCGUCUGGGAAGUGAGGAGCGCCUCUGCCCGGCCGCCCUGUCUGGGAGGUGUACCCAACAGCUCCGAAGAGACAGCGACCAUCGGGAGCGGGCCAUGAGGUCGAUGGCGGUUUUGUUGAAGAGAAGGGGGGGAUGUGUGGGGUAAGGAAGGAGAGAUCAGAUUGUUGCUGUGUCUGUGUAGAAAGAGGUGGCCAUAGGAGACUCCAUUUUGUUCUGACUAGGAGAAAUUCUUCUGCCUUGGGAUGCUGUUGAUCUAUGGCCUUUCCCCUAGCCCCGUGCUCUCUGAAACAUGUGCUGUGUCAACUCAGAGUUAAAUGGAUUAAGGGCGGUGCAAGAUGUGCUUUGUUAAACAGAUGCUUGAAGGCAGCAUGCUCUUUAAGAGUCAUCAUCACUCCCUAAUCUCAAGUACCCAGGGGCACAAACACUGCAGAAGGCCGCAGGGACCUCUGCCUAGGAAAACCAGAGACCUUUGUUCAUGUGUUUAUCUGCUGACCUUCUCUCCACUAUUAUCCUAUGACCCUGCCAUAUCCCCCUCUCCGAGAAACACCCAAGAGUGAUCAAUAAAUACUUAAUUAAAAAAAAAAAUGUAUGGCAGCUAGAGGUGUGGACUCUAAAUGUCAGCAGCCUGCGCUGUCCCCAUGAGGACCCAGAACCGAGUCAUAAAGCUGAGCUAUCCACCAGCUGGGGACAAUGCAGGCUGCUCCUGGGAUCUGUUUACAGAAGAUGAUGUGUGCUGGCAUUUCCAGCUCUACUGGUCCUUGUGGAAAAAAUUAGUGGUAUUGGUAACAAUUUCCUUGGGCCAAAACAGAAUCAUACCACGGCUUUAAUGAAAGGACAGAUUUGAAACUAUCCUCCCAGGGAACUUGCACAUUCAGAAAUGGAUGCGUAUUAGUAACCUACAGUUUUGUUUUUCUUGGUGCAUUCCAACAUACAUAUUGAAACAGUUUCCAGUCAAUAUGCUGUUUAUGCUGUUGCCUGGGGUCAUCCAUCACUUCUGGACUGCUCUUCCUCUCCCAUUCUGAAAUCUUUACAGAGGCCAAGAUGUCGUGGACUCCCUUUGAUGGACUCUGCCUGGUGUGGGCUGGCGAUAGGCAUUGGAAGCUUCUCAGUCCUUCUCAGUGGACAAAGGAGACUGUGAUGACCCCUGGGGUGUGCAGCGAAGGUGGGAGAGAAAGCAGGUUGAGGAGCUAGGUGAAGGAUUGAGAAAUCACUCAAACUGGGGAAUAGUAAAUUAGUGCAUUUUAUUUUU